ACGCUCGACACCUACUGGAGGCAGCAGUGGGGAAUAUUGCACAAUGGGGGAAACCCUGAUGCAGCGAUGCCGCGUGAAGGAAGAAGUAUCUCGGUAUGUAAACUUCUAUCAGCAGGGAAGAAAAUGACGGUACCUGACUAAGAAGCCCCGGCUAACUACGUGCCAGCAGCCGCGGUAAUCUGAGCGGGCUGGCAAGGC
rnacentral:rRNA from 1 species